CUUGUAUUAAGUUUGAAACGGAGAAUGUAGAUGAUUAUCACGGUCACAAAACUUGAUAAUACUAUCACUCUGUUGCAUCGCAUGGGUUCUCACUUAACAAUCUAUCUACUAUAAUAAAAGAAACCUCUUUUGGGACACAUGUCAUUACCACAUUUACUCUCCCAUAUUUUUUUUGGCCCAAAUACUAAUAUAACCCGGAUGUAACUUCUCGCGGGCCUAAACUGAUCCGUAAAGAAUUUUAUGGAUCCUAUAAAUAUAUUAUAACCCGUUUGCAAUUAGAGUUGAAAGUUGAAACCCUAAUUUUCCACCGCAAAUCUGCCCCCAUUCGUAUUCACCCACAGAAGGUCAAUUUCCCCUACCACCAUCGUCUGUUAUUCCGACCUGAACCUGUUCUGACCUGUCACCCACUCGACUUGCCCGGUUUGCCAAGUCUAUCCAUCACUCUUCGUAUGGUGGUAUGCGACUCGCUCGGUUGCCAGGUUAUUGCAGUUUUGUUGUCCAUUGAAGAAGUUGAAGAUUUCAAGGAAAUGUUUAAAAAGAUAUACAUCGAUGGUUAUUCAUUUGAAGAUGGAGUCAAAAGAGAAUUAUUCAUUUGAAGAUGGAGUCAAAAGAGUUGUUCUUUUAGCCCUCAAUGGCAUUAAGUGGAGGAAUGCCAGUUAGGGUUUUGACGAAGAUUUGCAUACAUGAAGCUGGAGAAUGAUUUGCACACCACCAUGAAGCUGGAGAACCGAUUGAUCAUCAAUUGUUACUUUGUUUUUAUUUAAUGUAAUAUUAUUUAAUUUCAUUUUUGUACUCUGUUUAUUUAUAAAUGUAUGAUUUACAUAAAUUAAUUGUUCAGCCCGUGUAUUACACGGGUUAUAACCUAGUAUUAUAAUAAAGCUAAUAAUACU